rnacentral:rRNA from 1 species
AUUGAACGCUGGCGGCAGGCCUAACACAUGCAAGUCGAACGAGUGGCGGACGGGUGGGUAAUGCAUGGGAACCUAACUUAUGGAGGGGGAUGACUACGGGAAACUGUAGCUAAUAACGCCUACCAUAGUAUGAGCCCCUGUGGGAUUAGCUAGUUGGUGGGGUAAAGGGUCACCAAGCCGACGAUCUAUAGCUGGUCUGAGAGGAUGACCAGCCACGCUGGGGGUGGAACACGACCCAGACUCAGACGAGAGGCAGAAGGGGGGAAUAUUGCAAAAUAGGCGGAAGCCGGAUGCAGCCAUGACGCGUGAAUGAAGAAGGACUUCGGGUUGUAAAGUACUUUGGGUGGGGAGGCGUUAUCAACAGAAGAAGCACCGGCUAACUCCGUGCGAGCAGUCGCGGUAAUAU